AAAAAAGAAGAAAAAUAAGAAGCCAAACUGUGGAGCAAUUUGGGGGCUCCCCCCAACCAUGCCAUCUGCCUACAAGGCUUACCCUGGCACUGGCUGGCCUUUGGGUCUUUUUGUGCAACUUUAUUUUCUAUCAAGGCCCAGGGGGUUUGCCCCUUGUCUCUCUGCCUCUUUGACCUAUCCUUCCUUUGGAACCCAGGCAUCUAAAUGACAACUUCUAUGUGCAUCAUUUAGAGAUGAGAAGAGGAAAUAUCUCUCCUGCUUUCUGGUUCCUGUGGCUGCUUCUCUUUGGACUUCUGGGACCCAGCUCUGAGAAUACCACAGCCUUCACAAAAGGCUCUGACACCACCACAGCCUCCAUCACAGGCUCUGAGACCACCAUGGCCUCCACCAUGGCCUCUACUACGGCCUUAACUACAGGCUCUAAGAUCACCACAGACUCUACCACAGGCUCUGAGACAACCUCAGCCUCCACCAUGGCUUCUACUGCAGCCUUCACCACAGGCUCUGAGACCAACACGGCCUCUACCACAGACUCAGGGACUACUAUAGCCUCCACUGGGACCUUCACCACAGGCUCUGACACAACCACAGGCUCCACUGCAGGCUCUGAAACUAUCGUGGCCUCCACCACAGUCUCUGGGACCACAACAACCUUUACUAUAGCCUCCACUACAGUCCCUGAGACUACCAUGGCCUCCAGCACAACCUCCACUGCAGGCUCUGAGAAAACGAUGGCCUCCUCCAUAAUUUCUGAGACCACCAUGGCCUCCACCACAGGCUCUGAGACUGCCACAGUCUCUACCACAGGCUCUGAGACCACCACCACCUCCACUGCAAGCUCUGAGGCCACUAAAGUCUCUACCACAGGCUCUGAAACCACCACAGCAUCUACUGCAGGUUCUGAGACCACCACUACCUCCACCUCCAUGGCAGGCUCUGAGGCCACCACAACCUCAACUGCAGACUCCAAGGUGAUCACGGCGUCCAGCAUGAGCUCUGAGACCACUGUGGCCCCCGCUGCAGGCUCUAACACCACCACAGCCUCUACCACAGGCUCUGAGACCACUACAAUCCUGAUUAAAGCCUCUGAGACCACCACAGCCUCUACAGCAGGUUCUGAGACCACCACCCCCUCCCCCACAGGCUCUCAGACCACCAUAGUCUCUAUUUCAGGUUCUGAGAUCACCACCACCUCUACGGCAGGAUCCGAGAACACCACAGUCUCUAGUGCAGGCUCUGGGACCACCACAGCUUCUAUGGCAGGCUCUGAGACCACCGUCUCCACUGCAGGCUCUGAGACCACUACAGUCUCUAUCACAGGCACUGAGACCACCAUGGUCUCUGCCAUGGGCUCAGAGACCACCACAAACUCUACUACAAGCUCUGAGACCACCGUCACCUCUACUGCAGGCUCUGAGACCACCACAGUCUCCACCGUGGGCUCUGAGACCACCACAGCCUAUACUGCAGAUUCUGAGACCACUGCAGCCUCUACCACAGGCUCUGAGAUGACCACAGUCUUCACUGCAGGCUCGGAAACCAUCACACCCUCUACUGCAGGCUCAGAGACCACCACAGUCUCUACUGCAGGCUCUGAGACCACUACAGUCUCCACCACAGGCUCUGAGACCACAACAGCCUCUACUGCACAUUCUGAGACGACUGCAGCCUCCACCAUGGGCUCUGAGACCACCAAAGUCUCAACUGCAGGCUCUGAGACCACAGUCUCCACUGCAGGCUCUGAGACCACUGCAGCCUCUACUGAAGAUUCUGAAACCAACACAGCAUUUACUGAAGAUUCUAAGACUACCACAGCCUCUACUACAGGGUUUGAGACAACCGCAGCCUCUACUACAGGCUCUGAGCCUACCAUGGCAUCCACCAUGGGCUCUGAGACCACUAUGGCCUCUACCAUAGGCCCUGAGACCACCAAGGUCUCCACUGCAAGCUCUGAGGUGACCACAGUCUUUGCUGCAGGCUCUGAGACAAUCAGAGCCUCUACCGUAGGCUCUGAGACCACCACAGUCUCUACCACAGGCUCUGAGACCACCACAGCCUCCAUCAUGGGCUCUGAGACCAGCACAGAUUCUACCACAGGCUCUGAGACCACCACAGCCUCUACUGAAGGCUCUGAGACCACCACAGCUUCCACUGAAGGCUCUGAGGCCACUACAGUCUCCACCACAGGCUCUGAGACCACUACAGUUUCUAUCACAGACUCAGAGACCACCACCACCUGUACUGAAGGCUCUGAGAUGACUGCAGUCUCCACCACAGUCUUUGAGACCACUACAGCCUCUACUGAAGGCUCUGAGAUCACAAUAGCCUCUACUUCAGACUCUGAGACCACCACAGCUUCUACUGAAGGUUCUGAGACCACUACAGUCACUACCGCAGGCUCUGAGACCAAAACAGCCUAUACUACAGGCUCUGAGACCACCACAGCCUCUAAUACAGGCUUGGAGACCACCACAGUCUUUACCAUAGGCUCUGACACCACCACAGCCUCUACUGAAGGCUCUGAGACCACUGCAGUCUCUGCCACAGGCUCUGAGAUGACCACAGUCUCUACUGAAGGCUCUGAGAACACUACAGUCUCCACCACAGGCUCUGAGACCACUACAGUUUCCACCACAGGCUUGGAGACCACCACCACUUCCACUGAAGGCUCUGAGAUGACUACAGUCUCCACCACAGGUGCUGAGACCACCACAGACUCUACUGAAGGCUCUGGGACCACUGCAGCCUCCACUGCAGGCUCUGAGACCACCACAGUCUCUACUGCAGAUUCUGAGAACACCACAGCAUCUACUGCAGAUUCUGAGACCACCUCAGCCUCUACUACAGGCUCUGAGACCACCACAGCCUCUACUACAAGCUCUGAGACCACCACAGCCUCUACUGAAGGCUCUGAGACCACUACAGUCUCCACCACAGACUCUGAGACCACCAUGGUCUCUACCACAGGCUCUGAGAGGACCAUCACCUCUACUGAAGGCUCUGAGACCACUACAGUAUCUGCCACAGGCUCUGAGACCACAGUCUCUACUGAAGGCUCUGGGACCACUACAGUCUCCAUCACAGGCUCUGAGACCACUAAAGUUUCUACCACAGGUUCAGAGACCACCACCACUUCUACUGAAGGCUCUGAGAUUACUACAGCCUCCAUCACAGGCUCUGAGACCACCACAGCCUCUACUGAAGGCUCCGAGACCACCACAGCCUCUACUGAAGGCUCCGAGACCACCUCAGCCUCUACUACAGGCUCUGAGACCACCACAGCCUCUACUACAAGCUCUGAGACCACCAUGGCAUCCAUCAUGGGCUCUGAGACCACUAUGGCCUCUACCAUAGGCUCUGAGACCACCAAGGUCUCCACUGCAAGCUCUAAAAUGACCACAGUCUUCACUGAAAACUCUGAGACCACCAUAGCCUCUACCACAGCCUCUGAGACCACCACAGUCUCCACUGCAGGCUCUGAGACCAUCCCAGCCUCUACAGCAGGCUCUGAGACCACCACCACCACCUCUACUGAAGGCUCUGAGACCACUACAGCCUCUACUGAAGGCUCUGAGACCACCACAGCCUCUACUGAAAGCUCUGAGACCACUACAGCCACUACCAUAGGCUCUGAGACCACCACAGCCUCUACUGAAGGCUCUGAGACUACCACCACCUCUACUGAAGGCUCUGAGACCACCACAGCCUCUACUGAAGGCUCUGAGAUCACUACAGUUUCUACCACAGGCUCUGAGACCACCACAGCCUCUACUGAAGGCUCUGAGACCACCACAGCCUCUACUGAAGGCUCUGAGCUCACUACAGUUUCUACCACAGGCUCUGAGACCAUCACAGUCUCUGCUGAAGGCUCUGAGACCACUACAGUCACUACUAUGGGCUCUGAGACCACCACGGCCUCUACUGCAGGCUCAGAGACCACCACAGUCUCUACUGCAGGCUCUGAGACCACCACAGCCUCUAUUGAAGGCUCUGAGACCACUACAGUCUCCUCCACAGGCUCUGAGACCACCACAGUCUCUACCACAGGCACUGAGACUACCAUCACCUCUACUGAAGGUUCAGAGACCACUACAGUCACUACUGCAGGUUCUGAGACCACAGCAGUCUAUACCACAGGCUCUGAGACUACCACCACCUCUACUGAAGGCUCUGAGACAACCACAGUCUCUACCACGGGCUCUGAGACCACCACAGCCUCUACCGCAGAUUUGGAGACCACCACAGUCUCCACCUCAGGCUCUGGGACCACCACAGCCUCUACCGCAGGCUCUGAGACCACAACAGUCUAUAUCACAGGCUCUAAGACUACCACCGCCUCUACUGAAGGCUCUGAGGCCACUACAGUUUCUACCACUAGCUCUGAGACCACCACAGCCUCUACCACAGGCUCUGAGAUGACUACAGUCUUUACCACAGUCUCUGAGACCACCACAGUCUCUACCAUAGGCUCUGAGGCCACCACAUCCUCUGCUGCAGGCUCUGAGGCCACCACCACCUCUACUGAAGGCUCUGAGACCACCACAGCCUCCACUGCAGGCUCUGAGACCACCACAGCCUCCACUGCAGGCUCUGAGACCACCACAGCCUCCACUUCAGGCUCUGAGACCAACACAGCCUGUACCACAGGUUCUGAGACCUCCACACCCUCCAGUGCAGGCUCUGAGACCAACACUGCCUUCAUCAUAGGCUCUGAGAGCACCAUAGCUUCCACUGCAAGCUUGGAGCCCACUGCAACUUCCCUCACAGGCUCUGAGACCACCACAGUCUCUAUCACAGCUUCUGGGGCCACUGCAGCCUCCACCACUGUCUCUUCCACCACGUUUGUACUCACCAAGGCCACUGACGUUUCUAUCCAGCCCAUCACCAACACACCUAUGUCAGGCACCAGAACCACUGGAACCAGACUCACUGCCUCCAGCUCUGUCACCAUGGCCCCUGGAAUGGACUUCACGGCCUCUGCUGCCAGCCAUACUGUGCCAGGAAUAGUCUUAAACACCUCUGGCCUGGGUACAUCCACUAUGGGAGCAUCAUCUACCACCUCAGCCCACGGCGUCAGGACCACCACAGGAUCCACCCGUGAGCCAACCAGCAGCACCUUCCAGGAAACAGGCCCGGUGUCCAUGGGCACAAACACAGUUAGCAUGAGCCACACACCCACAAACGUGAUCAAACCAAGUGGAUAUUUACAGCCCUGGGCUAUCAUCCUCAUUUCCCUGGCUGCAGUUGUGGCUGCUGUUGGAUUGUCAGUAGGACUGAGUUUUUGUCUGAGAAACCUUUUCUUCCCCCUGAGAUAUUGUGGUAUUUAUUACCCCCAUGGCCACAGCCACAGCCUUGGUCUGGACCUGAACUUGGGCCUGGGCUCUGGGACAUUCCACAGCCUGGGAAAUGCACUGGUUCAUGGAGGAGAACUUGAAAUGGGACAUGGAGGAACACACGGCUUUGGAUAUGGAGUGGGCCAUGGACUGAGCCACAUCCAUGGAGAUGGCUACGGAGUGAAUCAUGGCGGGCAUUAUGGACAUGGAGGAGGCCACUGAGGACACCAUGGAGUGGAUCACAGAGGGAGCCACCAAGGAGGCCACGGCAGGACAAGAUGGCUGUGGCCAUAGAUUGGGUAUCAAAACAUAUUAUGGGUGGGAGGGGGUCAUGGAGGAGAAAAAAAUAAUGAUCAUGAAAUAAUUAAAAUGGAGCAUAGGAAGCUUCCCAGGAUGUGAUCCAUGGAGAUGGACAUGGACUAGGUCAAGAAAAGAACCAGCAAAAGGACCUCAGAGACUUUGACUGGCUUGGAGGGGACUUCAAGUCAAAGCUUCUGUGAGUUUUUCCUGAGUCUCAGCCUCUGUUGUGGGGAGUCACGACAACCACCCUCAGGACAUCUUCUCUCCCAUUUCCCGCCACAUCAGGGUCAACGUUUCUCAUCCCUGUGUUUCCUCAUGGUGCUAUAAAUAUUACCAAGACAUGUCUAAGAAACAAAAGCACAUAAUGAAUGUAUUAUCAGGGCCAC
ensembl:lncRNA MUC22 mucin 22